rnacentral:rRNA from 1 species
CGGCUACCGAACCCGACGAAGGGGGCGAGCGGUCCCAAGGUAUGAUUCAUGAUUGGGGUG